rnacentral:rRNA from 1 species
UGGGGAAUUUUGGACAAUGGGCGAAAGCCUGAUCCAGCAAUGCCGCGUGUGUGAAGAAGGCCUUCGGGUUGUAAAGCACUUUUGUCCGGAAAGAAAUCCUUGGCUCUAAUACAGUCGGGGGAUGACGGUACCGGAAGAAUAAGCACCGGCUAACUACGUGCCAGCAGCCGCGGUAAUACGUAGGGUGCAAGCGUUAAUCGGAAUUACUGGGCGUAAAGCGUGCGCAGGCGGUUUGCUAAGACCGAUGUGAAAUCCCCGGGCUCAACCUGGGAACUGCAUUGGUGACUGGCAGGCUAGAGUAUGGCAGAGGGGGGUAGAAUUCCACGUGUAGCAGUGAAAUGCGUAGAGAUGUGGAGGAAUACCGAUGGCGAAGGCAGCCCCCUGGGCCAAUACUGACGCUCAUGCACGAAAGCGUAGGGAGCAAACAGGAUUAGAUACCCUGGUAGUCCACGCCCUAAACGAUGUCAACUAGUUGUGGGGAUUCAUUUCCUUAGUAACGUAGCUAACGCGUGAAGUUGACCGCCUGGGGAGUACGGUCGCAAGAUUAAAACUCAAAGGAAUUGACGGGGUCAUAGCUGUUUCCU